UAUGUGAUCGUCUCUCGCAUAUCAAUAAGCGGAGGAAAAGAAACUAACAAGGAUUCCCCUAGUAACGGCGAGUGAAGCGGGAAGAGCUCAAAUUUGAAAUCUUAAAGGGUUUCCCUUUACGAAUUGUAGUUUAGAGAAGUGUUUUCUGUUGAGGUUUUGGUAAAAGUUCUUUGGAAUAGGACAUCAUAGAGGGUGAGAAUCCCGUAUUUGACCUUUACUUUCAACUUUGUGAUACACUUUCAAAGAGUCGGAUUGUUUGGGAAUGCAGUCCAAAAUGGGUGGUAAAUUUCAUCUAAAGCUAAAUAUUGGCGAGAGACCGAUAGCGAACAAGUACCGUGAGGGAAAGAUGAAAAGAACUUUGAAAAGAGAGUUAAACAGUACGUGAAAUUGUCAAAAGGGAAGCGUUUGACACCAGUGUUGUUUUUCUGAAAAUCAAUUAAAGAACUGUUUAUGCUAAGUUGUUUAGACUUUAUCAGCUAACUGUUUAGUUUUGAGCUUUUCUUUAAUGCACUUUUCAGUUAACAAGUCAACAUCAAUUUCUUUUGCUGUAAAAAAGCUUGAGGAAGGUGGCUUGAGAUUCGUCUUAAGUGUUUAUAGCCUCUUGCCUAUGCAGUCGGAGAGAUUGAGGUCUGCAGCGUAGAUCCUUCGGGGCUAAAUGCAUUUGUGCUAAGUUAUAGCAUUUUAUAGACAACUUGUUGACUAUGAUUUGUCUUGUAGCUUACUCGCUUAUGUUAUUUUACCUACGCUUAGGAUGUUGAGUAGCGACAUACGCAC
rnacentral:rRNA from 1 species